rnacentral:rRNA from 1 species
AUUGAACGCUGGCGGCAGGCCUAACACAUGCAAGUCGAACGAGUGGCGGACGGGUGAGUAAUAUCUGGGAAUCUACCCUGUCGUGGGGGAUCACGUCGGGAAACUUUCGCUAAUACCGCAUACGCUGAUAUGAGCCGAUGUGGGAUUAGCUAGUUGGUGGGGUAAAGGCUCACCAAGGCGACGAUCCCUAGCUGGUCUGAGAGGAUGACCAGCCACACUGGAACUGAGACACGGUCCAGACUCCUACGGGAGGCAGCAGUGGGGAAUAUUGCACAAUGGGCGCAAGCCUGAUGCAGCCAUGCCGCGUGGGUGAAGAAGGCCUUCGGGUUGUAAAGCACUUUCAGCGGGGAGGCGGUACCCGAAGAAGAAGCACCGGCUAACUCCGUGCCAGCAGCCGCGGUAAUAC